rnacentral:rRNA from 1 species
GAGGAAUAUUGGUCAAUGGACGAAAGUCUGAACCAGCCAUGCCGCGUGAAGGAUGAAGGCGUUCUGCGUUGUAAACUUCUUUUAUCAGGGAAGAAACCACUGAUUUCUAUCGGUGUUGACGGUACCUGAGGAAUAAGCACCGGCUAACUCCGUGCCAGCAGCCGCGGUAAUACGGAGGGUGCAAGCGUUAUCCGGAUUUACUGGGUUUAAAGGGUGCGUAGGCGGUCUAUUAAGUCAGGGGUGAAAUCCCGGGGCUCAACCCCGGAACUGCCUUUGAUACUAUUAGACUUGAAUUAUGUUGAGGUCGGCGGAAUAUAACAUGUAGCGGUGAAAUGCAUAGACAUGUUAUAGAACACCGAUUGCGAAGGCAGCUGACUAAACAUUAAUUGACGCUGAGGCACGAAAGCGUGGGGAUCAAACA